ensembl:lincRNA
AUGAGAGGACAGAGAAGAAAGGAAUUAUGUCUGAUCAGGACCCAACCCAGGGCGCUGUUCCCUCCCCUGACCUCUUCCUCAGGAACCAGGCCAGUGGAGUGUCAAACAAGGGUGAUGGCUGUGGUCAGAGAUCAAGGUUUCGCCCCGGAGCCCGAGAUGUUUCUGGACAAGCUGCCAAGUCAGAGUUCUGAGGUUUCACUGGGCUUUGCUAAGCCUAACACAAAGGUCAGUGGAGUGAGGUUUGUCCUCCCUAGAAUGCCUCCGUGCAAGUGUUACCCUUUGCAACGCCAUGGACUGUAGCCCACCAGGCUCCUCUGUUCAUGGAAUUCUCCAGGCAAGAAUACUACAGUGGGUAGCCAUUUCCUUCUCCAGGGGAUCUUCCCAACUCAGGGGUCAAACUCCAGUCUCUCACAUUGCAGGCAGAUUCACCAUCUGAGUCACCAGGGAAGCCCUAGGUUUGUGUUUAUAAUCUUUAAUCUCUCUUCUUGUAUCCCUUUGUCCUCUUGUGGAUAUAACAACAACAACAACAAUAAUAAUUUUAUUAAAAAUCCUACCAUUUAUUAAGUGCUUAUUAAGAACCAACUACUAUGUUUAGUUCAUUUCAUAUAUUGCCUUGCUUAAUCCUGACGACCGUCUGAGUUAAGCAUGAUCACCUUCUUACUAACAAGAGAGGCUGUGGUUGGUUGUCAACCCUAACUGCAUGUGAUAAGCACACAAGAGUUUUUUCUAAAACGUGGCCUCCCACAGAGAUUGUUUCAGUUGCCCGAAAGUGGACCAGGACAACUAAUGGCUCUUAAUGGUCGCUGUGCAUGGAAAUCAAGUGGAGAGCUUUAAAUAUAUACUGAUUUGGUUGGUUUGACAUGAUGCCUAGGGCACUGGAAAUUUUUUUUCCCCCCUGAGGCUUUUUUUUUUUUUAACAGACAUCACUUUUUUAACACAGUCUUAAGAAAACUGCACAGAAAAUAAAGUGAAUUCCCAAAUUCCCCCUUUCCCCUACACACAGAUUCAUCUAUUAGUCACAUCUUGCAUUAGUGUAGUACACUUAUUACAGUGAUGAACCAGUAGGGAAGCUUGAGUAUUAAAUAAAGUCAUAGCUUAUAUUGGGGUUCACUCUUCAUAUGUAUAUCUGAGGUUAUUGAUAUUUCUCCCAGCAAUCUUGAAUCCAGCUUGUGUUUCAUCCAGCCCAACGUUGCUCAUCAUGUACUCUGCAAAUAAGUUAAAUAAGCACAGUGACAAUAUACAGCCUUGAUGUGUUCCUUUUCCUAUUUGGAAGCAGUCUGUUGUUCCAUUUCCAGUUUUAACUGUUGCUUUCUGACCUGCAUACAGAUUUCUUAAGAGGCAGAUCAGGUGGUCUGGUCUUCCCAUCUCUUUCAGAAUUUUCCACAGUUUAUUGUGAUCCACACAGUCAAAGGCUUUGGCAUAGUCAAUAAAGCAGAAAUAGAUGUUUUUCUGGAACUCUCUUGCUUUUUCAAUGAUCCAGCAAAUGUUGGUAAUUUGAUCUUUGGUUCCUCUGCCUUUUCUAAAACCAGCUUGAACAUCUGGAAGUCCACAGUUCACGUAUUGUUGGAGCCUAACUUGGAGAAUUUUGAGCAUUACUUUACUAGUGUGUGAAAUGAGUGCAAUUGUGCGGUAGUUUGAGCAUUCUUUGGCAUUGCCUUUCUUUGGGAUUGGAAUGAAAACUGACCUUUUCCAGUCCUGUGGCCACUGCUGAGUUUUCCAAAUUUGCUGGCAUAUUGAGUACAGCACUUUCACAGCAUCAUCUUUCAGGAUAUGAAACAGCUCAACU